GUUUUCAAAGCUACAAACUUCUAUUUUUAGAUGUCAGGUGGUUUGCUUUAAUCUGAUCUCUUAUAACCAAAUUGUUCUUUUAUUUUUGACUUAUUGUCUCUUAUUUUUAUAUGACCACGAAGAAACUGAUGGUCUUGUUGUGGUGACUACUAGUUGAGUUAAAACUGGGAAUGCACUGUAAGAAGUGAAUCAGAACAAUCAAUAAUGCAAUGAAAACAACUGAGAGAAUAUGAUACCUCUUCAUCGAAUGUGUAAAUUGUUAUGAUUCUUCUCAUCCUAUGUAUGUGUUGGCACAGCAAUGAAAUAAAAUGCUUAAUUGGGCAGUAACAGCAGAUCUUUUUAGGUAGAUAAUGGUUUCAAAUGGUAUCUGCUAUUAAGGUAUCUUGGCACUUUGGAAACCUUCAUCUAUUUGUUUCUUCCUACAGUUGGCCAGCUGGCCAUUGAUGCACCGAAUAUAUUCUGUCUUCCAACCACUAGAACAAUCCGUGUCGGGAUGCAAGGAAAAGGAUUCUGAGCUGGGGA
rnacentral:lncRNA from 1 species